GAUGCCAGCUUAGGGGGCGUGGCCUAGAAAUAGAGCCGCUGCCCGUUGGCCCCGCCCCUCAUCUUCCCUCACCUCCCUGCCUCUGAGGAGCCUUGUUGCCAUGGCGACGAGGCUUGGGUACCGCGAAGAGGCCUAGUAGGCCCAUCGCCUUGCGCGACCAUGGACUACACUGGGAGCUCCUACCGCGGGCAGCUCGUCCACGGCAGGUUGGAAGGCAGCGGCACCUACAAACUCCCCACAGAAACCAAGUAUGUCGGAGAAAUGAAAGACGGGAUGUUUCACGGCAAAGGGACCUUGCACUUCCCCAGCGGCAGCAAAUACGAAGGAACAUGGGAGAAUGGGAUAUCGAUAGAGGGGAAAUACACCUUCGCAGAUGGGUUGGAGUAUGAAGAAGAGAACUGGCAUUAUUGUGAUGGUUAUGACAGAAGGUUUUAUACCGAAAUCUGCAGGGGCCUGAAACCAGCAGGCAUUUCCCAGCUUACAAACCUGGAUCCUCCUCGGGUCAUCCCCAUGGGCUGCUAUGACUGUGGCGAUGGUUUUUAUAAUCCCAAAACAAGAGUGGUGACCGAUUACCUCCACCGGUUUUUGAGGAAUGCAGCCCUCCAGCUCACUGGCUCCUGCUUCGGCACAAAUUGGGCCCGCUAGAAAAGAAGCAGCGAUAAAAGAAUGAACUUUGAGAAAAGGCUGGACAGGCUCCAAUGUGCGAUUGUCAUCCACAACGUGGAGAGCUGCCUAAAUACACCGGAGUGAUAAUUUCCAAUGACGACGAACACGAGUGGAUUGUCCGCACCUGCCGGAAGGGUUGGGACGAAAUCGUUGGAUAUAGGCCCAAAAGAGGAGCUCCGUCUCAAGGAGGUAAAGAAGAAAAGGGAGAGAAGGAGACUCUCCCUUG